rnacentral:rRNA from 1 species
AUGAACGCUAGCUACAGGCUUAACACAUGCAAGUCGAGGGGCAGCAUGGUCUUAGCUUGCUAAGGCCGAUGGCGACCGGCGCACGGGUGAGUAACACGUAUCCAACCUGCCGUCUACUCUUGGACAGCCUUCUGAAAGGAAGAUUAAUACAAGAUGGCAUCAUGAGUCCGCAUGUUCACAUGAUUAAAGGUAUUCCGGUAGACGAUGGGGAUGCGUUCCAUUAGAUAGUAGGCGGGGUAACGGCCCACCUAGUCUUCGAUGGAUAGGGGUUCUGAGAGGAAGGUCCCCCACAUUGGAACUGAGACACGGUCCAAACUCCUACGGGAGGCAGCAGUGAGGAAUAUUGGUCAAUGGGCGAGAGCCUGAACCAGCCAAGUAGCGUGAAGGAUGACUGCCCUAUGGGUUGUAAACUUCUUUUAUAAAGGAAUAAAGUCGGGUAUGGAUACCCGUUUGCAUGUACUUUAUGAAUAAGGAUCGGCUAACUCCGUGCCAGCAGCCGCGGUAAUACGGAGGAUCCGAGCGUUAUCCGGAUUUAUUGGGUUUAAAGGGAGCGUAGAUGGAUGUUUAAGUCAGUUGUGAAAGUUUGCGGCUCAACCGUAAAAUUGCAGUUGAUACUGGAUAUCUUGAGUGCAGUUGAGGCAGGCGGAAUUCGUGGUGUGGCGGUGAAAUGCUUAGAUAUCACGAAGAACUCCGAUUGCGAAGGCAGCCUGCUAAGCUGCAACUGACAUUGAGGCUCGAAAGUGUGGGUAUCAAACAGGAUUAGAUACCCUGGUAGUCCACACGGUAAACGAUGAAUACUCGCUGUUUGCGAUAUACUGCAAGCGGCCAAGCGAAAGCGUUAAGUAUUCCACCUGGGGAGUACGCCGGCAACGGUGAAACUCAAAGGAAUUGACGGGGGCCCGCACAAGCGGAGGAACAUGUGGUUUAAUUCGAUGAUACGCGAGGAACCUUACCCGGGCUUAAAUUGCAGAUGAAUUACGGUGAAAGCCGUAAGCCGCAAGGCAUCUGUGAAGGUGCUGCAUGGUUGUCGUCAGCUCGUGCCGUGAGGUGUCGGCUUAAGUGCCAUAACGAGCGCAACCCUUGUUGUCAGUUACUAACAGGUUCCGCUGAGGACUCUGACAAGACUGCCAUCGUAAGAUGUGAGGAAGGUGGGGAUGACGUCAAAUCAGCACGGCCCUUACGUCCGGGGCUACACACGUGUUACAAUGGGGGGUACAGAGGGCCGCUACCACGCGAGUGGAUGCCAAUCCCCAAAACCUCUCUCAGUUCGGACUGGAGUCUGCAACCCGACUCCACGAAGCUGGAUUCGCUAGUAAUCGCGCAUCAGCCACGGCGCGGUGAAUACGUUCCCGGGCCUUGUACACACCGCCCGUCAAGCCAUGGGAGCCGGGGGUACCUGAAGUGCGUAACCGCGAGGAGCGCCCUAGGGUAAAACUGGUGACUGGGGCU